CAUAAAGAGUUGUCCUAUUAUUGUAGACAUGUCUAUGGACAUGUCUAACAGCAAUCCAAUGUGAUCUUUUUUCAGCGAACAUAUCCAAUGAAAGUCCAAAGGAUUAUCAUUGGACAUUCGUUUGGGAUAUGUCCAAUUACAGUCUUAUAUCUAGUCUAAUGAUUUUUCUUGGGACGUGUCCUUCACUUGUCCUAUAUGAGUCCAAUUUCCGUUUACAUUGAACGUUUCCAAUGCCAGUCCAAUGGAUUAUCAUUGGACAUUCGAUUGUGAUAUGUCUAACAGUAGUCUAAUGUUUAAUCCUACGAUUUAUGUUAGGACACCAUAAUCAAACGUCCAAUGCUACUCCAAGGUAAUUUCAUAGGACAUUCUAAUUGAACGUUUCCAAUGCCAGUCCAAUGGAUUAUCAUUGGACAUUCGAUUGUGAUAUGUCUAACAGUAGUUUAAUGUUUAAUCCUACGAUUUAUGUUAGGACACCAUAAUCAAACGUCCAAUGCUACUCCAAGGUAAUUUCAUAGGACAUUCUAAUUGAACGUUUCCAAUGCCAGUCCAAUGGAUUAUCAUUGGACAUUCGAUUGUGAUAUGUCUAACAGUAGUUUAAUGUUUAAUCCUACGAUGUAUGUUAGGACACCAUAAUCAAACGUCCAAUGCUACUCCAAGGUAAUUUCAUAGGACAUUCUAAUUGAACGUUUCCAAUGCCAGUCAAAUGGAUUAUCAUUGGACAUUCGAUUGUGAUAUGUCUAACAGUAGUUUAAUGUUUAAUCCUACGAUGUAUGUUAGGACACCAUAAUCAAACGUCCAAUGCUACUCCAAGGUAAUUUCAUAGGACAUUCUAAUUGAACGUUUCCAAUGCCAGUCCAAUGGAUUAUCAUUGGACAUUCGAUUGUGAUAUGUCUAACAGUAGUUUAAUGUUUAAUCCUACGAUGUAUGUUAGGACACCAUAAUCAAACGUCCAAUGCUACUCCAAGGUAAUUUCAUAGGACAUUCUAAUUGGACGUAUCUAAUGCCAGUCCAAUAGAUUACCAUUGGACAUUCGAUUGAGAUAUAUUCAACCAUAGUCUAAUGUUUAAUCCUACAGUUUACCUCAGGACACUUUAAUCAGACAUCCAAUGCUAGUCGAAGGAAAAUUUAUAGGACAUUCUAAUUGGACAUAUCCAAUGCCAGUCCAUUGGUUUAUUAUUGGACAUUUGUUUGAGAUAUGUCCAACGAUGGUCGAACGUUUAAUCUUACGAUUUAUCUUAGCACAUCUAAUUCAAACGUCCUAUGCUAGUCCAAAGGAAUUUCAGAGGAAAGUUUACGUUAGACGUAUCCAAUGCCAGUCCAUUAGUUCAUCAUUGAACAUUCGAUUGGGAUAUAUCCCACGAUUGUAUAAUAUCUUGUACUACGAUAUCUCUUAAGACGUCUAAUUCAGACGUCCAAAGCUAAUCCAAAGGAAUAUCAUAGGACGUUAAAAUUUCAUAUAUCUAAUGCCAGUCCAACUAUUUUCAUUGGACUUUCGACAUAUGCUUCCAUCGAUAUGUCUUACGUUUGUUCAAAUGUCUUUGUUCUGUGAAGAGUGCGUGUGUAGCAGCGUUGGAAAAUGGAAAAAUGGGAAAAAUAUCCGGAAAAAUAGCAAAGUAAGUACAUUAUACACUAAUUAGGAUAUAGUUAAACGAUGUGUAUAAGAAAUUAAGUUGCAAUUUAUAUAAUUGUACGCGAAAAUAGAAAUUUUCUUUUUUACAGGUUACGUGUUUCGACAAGUCCAGGUGAGAGAUUUUUUUCGAAUAAAAGCAGGUAAAAAGAGAAGUAUUUUAAUUAAAGAGCGCUCUUCUGUAAAUAGUAGUAGUAGUAGUAGUAAUAGCAGUAGUAGUAGCAGUAGUAUGUAGUAGAAGUAGUCGGGGUAGUAGUAGUAAAUAUUAUGUAUGUAAUAUUUGACAAAUUUUUCUAUUAUUCCAUUAUUAUUCAUUGAUUUGUCUUUUCAUGCUACAUGUUCCCGGACAACUUCUAUUCUCCGGACUCUCCCAGGCUCCCCAAAAAGAGUGUCCAUGGACAACCCAAUGGAUUGUCAAUGGAUUCGUCCCAUGUGUCCCAUGGACUUUUCUUGUUUUUUUCUUAUAUUCUGUAAUAUUCUUACAGCUACAUGUUCCCGGCGUUCCCGGACAACUAUCUUACGGAUACUCCCACGUUACAAAAGCUCGCCAAAGAGAACUAUCAGCAUUUAUGACGAAGGGAAUGGAGAAAAGAAAAGACCGUGCCUUGGAAAACAGAAGUAGGAGAGCAUCCCGUGUCUUGGAAAACAGAAAUUGCAGAGCAUCCCGUGUCUUGGAAUACAGGAGUUGCAGAACAUCUCAAAGACCCAGGACGUCAGAGUUCAACCGCCGAAGGACAAAGUAUCAUACAUGUAAGAUUUAUAUAUAUAAUUUUUAAAUAAAAAAAUAAAAAAUUAA